ACAUUUACAUUUAUUUUACAGUCAGCAAUGCCGCGAGCAAGACGAUCGAAUCUUAAAUAAUGAAAAGAAAAUAAAAUAAAAAUAAAUAAAAUAAUGAAUGGUUGAGUGAGCGAGCAAUUUUAGCGGAAAAAAUUGUAAAAUCGGCACAAUUUUAACAAUCGCAAAAAUGAAAAAAAUGUAAAAUUCGAAAAAAUUUCGGAAAUUGAAAAAAUUGUAAAAUCGGCAAAAUUUUGGAAAUUAAAAAGAUUUUAAAAUCGGGAAAAUUUUGGAAAUUGAAAAAAUUGCAAAAUCGGAAAAUUUUUGAAAAUUAAAAAAAAUGUAAAAAUUGGCAAAAUUUUAAAAAUUGAAAAAAUUGUAAAAUCGGCAAAAUUUUAGAUAUUAAAAAAAUGUAAAAAUCGGCAAAAAUUGUGGAAAUUUUGAAAAAUCGGAAAAAAUUUUUAAAAUUGAAAAAAAUUGUAAAAUCGCCAAGUUUUGGAAAUUAAAAAAAUUACAAAUCGGCGAAAUCUUGGAAAUUGAAAAAAUGUAAAAAUUGACAAUAAUAAUGAAUAAAAUAAUAUCGAUAUAGUACACCAUUCAAAAUAUACCAUAAACGGCACAAUGUGCCAGAGCCAAAGCAACUCAGACCCUACAAUUAUUUCAACGUGAUUUACUUUUGAUUUGUAUAUGAGCCCAAGCUGAGGCAAAAAAUUGUGAUGAAUUCAAAAGGGAUUUGAAGGUGUGCGCAGAGCACGAAUAAGACAAAACGAGUUGACGGCUAUUAUGCAGCUAUGAAUGACAGUUUAAUCUAAGAAGCUAAUAUGAAUAUAUAUGUUUACUAGUGUAUAUUUGUCGAAAUUUUUAGGGUGUUUGUUUAAUAAUUUUUAAGACAUAAAGCAAAGCGACUGGAAAGCGAGGAUCACACUCAAUGAGACAAUUGAGUUAAAGAGAGCAAUUGAUUGAAUUAAUAUACAAACAAUGCAGAGAAAUUGAAGUGUGCUUCAGUGGGACAUGAGUUGAUGCAAUAGCAACUGUUGCAAAACUGCAAGGCUGAUGUGUGCUUCAAUAAACACUAACUAAAUCAAAUACGUCCUACAGCUUUCAAGCUACCACCUAGGCUGCUGCCGGCUUUUGCUAAAAAUCCAUCAAUACUGUACGACUUCUGAGAAGAAGAUACGUCAUACCGGCACGACUACGGACCACUGGUCUAUGCUCUGCCCCUAGUAGGUGCAGCCGGUCCUACCAAUCUACCUACCUUUGUAGGUGCGAACUUAAAAAUAAAUAAUACAACGGGUCUUCUACAGUCCAAUUGUUGGAGAUGCUUUGUUCUACCUGUUACAUACAUUUUCUGCCGGUACAAUGUUAUAGUACCCUUCUACCCUAUGGGUACCGGGUAUAAAAAGAAAGAAAUCAACAUAACAAGUAGAAGUGUCACAGAAUCCCUUGCCCUUGAAUUUCUGCAUUUGUAUUUGUACUCGUAUACACUGCAAAACCAACCAAUGCACUAUGGUCUAUGAAAUUGCUACUUCACAUUGGCUCCACAUUAUUAUUAAGACUCAAUGCAAAAUAAUUUAUUUCAUUUAUCACACUUUGACUUAAAACGUUCCACCAUAUAGUUACAAUUUACAAGUUUUUCUUUUAACAAAUAAGAAAAUUACAGUCAAGUGUGCUCGACUGUGAGAUACCCGCUACCCAUUUUGAAUAAAAUAAAAAUAUUUCGGUAUAUAAAAAGGAUAUGACGUAACCUCCGUUGUUUAU